AUGAAUUCCAGAUUUAAUAAGGUGAGUAAUAUUUGGAAACUAUUCUUAGAUUCUGUUAUUCUUUCAUCAUUAAUUGCUGAUGAUACACAUUCAACAUUGAGAGAGACCCAGAAUUGAACAAGUACAGAGGUCCAUAGCAGAAAUUUACCAUGUAUAGAACUUACAAAUCAUUCAAUUGAUUAGUUCAUGUUUGUUUUUGAAAGUUUCCCUCUAUAACUGCUUCUGGUUCACCAUAAGAAAAAAAAAUAUUUUUGGCAGAACUCAGAUGAUUCAAGUUCCUUUUGUACUAAUUUAAUAUAGCAGUUGUCACACAGUAAGAGUUGUGAGGGUGGAAAAACAAAAAGAAUGUGUUAGAAUGUACUAAGAAAGACAGGAAUUAUCUACCUGAACUCCAUGAAAAAGGAACAGAUAAGAUUAGAACCUUUAAAAAAGUUUGGACAUCAGGAAAAUGAAGCAGAACACAAUAUGCUUCAAAGUAGAGCUAAGGUUAAGUUUUUUCAAGCGAAUUAUUAUCUUCCGACUAAAAGCCUUGUUUAACUCCGCGAACUCAAAAUUAAGUACUAAUCUGCAUGCAGGCAUUUUAUGUAAUCAAAUAAUCCUGUUAAUAAAUUAAUCAGUCAUACUUCUAUGAUGUAAAUCUACAUAAAAAUAAGAUCAUAAAGUCCUCCAUAUUAAUAUGGAUUUUCAACAUACUCCCUCUGUUCAUGUAUGCACUUUAUGGUUCAGUUCUGCUUUGGGAGAAUUGUAUAUUCAGAAAGAUUAGGCUUGAAUUUGGAGGGUUCGCUUGGGAGUUACUUCUCAGCAUCCUUCUGUAAGAGAAUUGAAUCAGUGAUCCUAUGGUUGGCUUGAAUGGAUUUGGCUUUUGUAGUCCAUAUAAAUUUGUUUUCUUGACUUUGGUGAGUGAGAUAUCAAGCUGGUGCACCGUAGAGUUUGCAGAGCACUGCUGGUUGGAUAUCGGCCUUCAAUUUUGACACCAAACCAAUGGUAUUGUGAAGUUGAACUUGGUUGUCCUGAUUGGUUCUGCUGAUGAUUUCCAGAUUUUAUACAGUAAUUAAGAUUUGCAAAUUUUUCUAUGAUUCUGUUAUGCUUUCAUUAUUAAUUACUGAUGAUACACAUUCGACAUUGAGAGAGAGCCAGAACUGAACAAGUACAGAGGUCCAUAGCAGAAAUGUACCAUGUAUAGAACUUACAAUUCAUUCAAUUGAUGAGUUUAUGCUCGUAUUUGAAAUUUGCCUCGGCUGAAAUUGUUUGACUCAAUUACCUUCUGUACUUAUUUAAUAUAGCAGUUAAUAUAGCAGUUGUCAAGCUCUAGGAGUUGUGAGGGUGGAAAAAAAAAAAAAAAAAACAAGUAGAAGAAUGUGAUGAACUAAGAAAGACAGGAAUUAUCCACCUGAAGUCCUUGACAAAAGGAAAAAAUAGAUUAGAACCCUUACAAAAGUUUGGAUAUCAGGAGAAUGAAGCAGAACACAAUAGUGGGGAGGAGCAACUGAAAGGGUUAAGGAUUGUUAAAUUUUUGGUUGAUCAUGAAAGUAGAAGUCCCCAGUCAAUAGUUCUGCACAGAUAAAAGUUGCCAACACCUUGAUUUCUUCAGCUUGUCUUCUUAUGUUAGGUGUUAUCUUGUGUAACAGUUGCAUAUAUCGCUUCUCACAUAGGGAUGAAUCCCACACUUGUGGAAUCUAUAUCCGCAACCGCCUCUCUCACAUAGGGGUGAAUCCACGCUUGUGGAAUCUAUAUCCAUGUAAGAGUAACCUAAUAUGCAAGAUAAUAAAGCUUUCUUAUGUACUACUAGUAACAUAUGUCAGACAUGCAAGACAUCUUGUGUGUAUUGUAUGCAUGCAUACUCUAAUUGCAAAACUUAAAAUUCGUUAAAUACUAUUGUGUAUUCUGAUGUAUGGGUUGGCUUUUGGAUUUGGGGAAGACCGGUUUGGUUUGGGUCCAUGAAUCGGUACUGUGUAUUCUGUAUUCUGAUGUGUCAUGGAGGAUGUGUAAUUUUUUAAUGGUGGUUGUUAAUGCACACCUUAUUGCACACAAUCAGACACCAUACACACAAAAAUUGAAAUGUAUGUUCGAUGUAAGUAAUAGACAAUGUGGAAUAAACAAUGCCCAUUUUUUAAUAUUAAAAAAUGGUGCACAUCACUUAAAAAACAUAAUUUCAUUUCAACAUUAGUCACAUAGUAAAAAAAAAACCAAUAGAAGUUAGCAGAAUGACUGAUAUUAUUCAUUUGAAAUUUCAUAAUCAAAAGUGCUUAGUGAAUUUCAAGGACUAGAAAUGUAUUUCGUCCUUAAAAUUUUAUUAAUGUAAAAGGUAAAAACAUUUAUUAAGUAUAUGUGAGAAUAAAAAAAUAAAAAAACUAAAUUAUCAUUUUUUAUAAUAAAAAAGAGAGAAAUUUAAUGACAAAUCUAAACCAACAAGAAGCCACUUUGAAAAGCCAAGUUAAAAAGAGCAAUGGUAUAAGAGUAAUUUCCCAAUUAAAAAUACUGCCUCAUCAACCAUAGGAAUGUCUUGUUGACAGUGACAAUCCGUAACACACUCGGUCUCAAACACAUCACAUCAGGAACUUUCCAAGAGGCCAACAACCUCACUUCUGAUAAUAGAAUCAACACAGGGAUAUUUCCUAUUGUUGGAGACAUGAAUAUUUCCUGUUGUAGUUGAUUAACAUAAAGGAUUGGCUGAGGCUAUAUGUGACAAUUGUAGUGCAUACUACAAUAUUGCAGAAGCUGUUUCACGGCUAGAAGGUUUGCGAAAUAAAUUUUCAAAUGGGUCAAUAUGUUUUUAACUUUAUCUACUCUUGGAUUGAUUUUUAUUAUGCAGACUAAUUACUGUUUAAACUUGUAGAAGAGAUCUCCGGCCUUUGAUAUUACAUUCUUUUUAUCCGCUUAUGGGUGUGGUGCAAGCUUUGGAUAACACAUCAUUUUAGACUUCCAAAUUCCAAUAUCAAUUUGUAUGUUUAUAUAUAUAUAUAUAUUGGUAGAGAACUAUUACUUAACUCAAAUAAAAAAUUUAACUAAUUAAGAAAACAAAACGUUAAUGGUUUAAAUAAAAAAAAUUUAUCGUUAACUCUGCUAGAGGAGUUAACGUUAAUGCUCUUAAUUCUUGUUACCAGGGCCAAUGGCAUCUCUAUCAAGUGGCAAAUAUGAAUCAUUUACACAGCGCCUAUCUUUAUAA
rnacentral:sRNA from 1 species